UGGUAACCUUGUUCAUUUUCAUUUUAUUUUUGAUAAUUACUUCAGCAAAUAAGGACAAUUUCGUCCAAUCAAGUCCAAGAACUAGCCAAAGGCUUAAACAACGGCGAGUGAGAGUGUGACACCGCUGGGAUGAUGUAGCAGAGGCCAGUCCACGCUAAAACCAUGGCUCUAUAGCGCUUCUGUUUUAUCUGCAUCGACAAAACUAGGCCAUGGGCUUUGCAAUGGGAAGCUCACACCUGUUACAAUCUUAUUUUCCCUCCUCUUCUUCUUCUACUUUCUCCUCUUCUCAUUCCCAUUCUGUUUUUUUCCAUGUCAAGAGCUGUAAUGGGAAGACCAAGAUAAAGAAGAGGGCAAUUACUGUUGCUUGUACUCGCCAAGAAGAUCAAUACGAUAUCGUUUUUAGCAAGAAGAGAGCGGUUCUCUUCGUGGGUAUUUCGAUUCUUCCCUUCUUGCUACUUAGAGCCAGAGCUCUUGGAGGUUCACUUACAAAAGAAAGUGAGCUCAAGACACUUGAAGAUAACAAAAAAGAAGGGGCUGCAAUUCAAAGAUAUACACCACCAAAUCCCUUCUUGUCUGUCCUGAAUGGACUUGGUAUAUUUGGUACGGGUGUGCUUGGUGCACUCUUUGCAUUGACUAAGAAAGAGAAAAAAGCCACUGAAACAGCAAUAGAAUCUAUGACAGCCAAACUGAAAGAGAAGGAAGCUGCCAUUGUGUCCUUAGAGAAGAACUUUGAGUCAAAGCUAUUGAAUGAACAGGAAGAAUGGACAAAGCAACUCAGAAAGGCAAAGGAUGAACAAUUGGUUCUUGUGAACCAACUACAAUCGGCUAACACUACAAUUAAAGGGCUAGGACAGGAGCUGAAAAAUGAGAAAAGAAUAGUUGACGAGCUCAAAGUUCAAAUAGAUGGUCUAGAAACCAGCCUUUCAAAGGCUGAGGAAGAUAAGAAAGCUCAUGAACAAGAACUAAAGGAAAAACUCAAUUCAAUUGAAGUCUUACAAGAUAAGACUAACUUGCUUAGUUUAGAGCUCAAGGAUAAGGAAGAUAAUGCUCAACAUCUCAUCUCUUCACUUGCUGGGAAGGAACUGGAAUUGAAGAACUUGAAUUCUACCUACAAGGAAACAAAAGAUGAACUGGCCAAGGCACACACAGAAAUCAAAGCAUUGAAAGAUGAACUUCAGAGAAAUGGAAAGGAACUGGAAUUGAAGAAUUCUUUGGUGGAUGAAUUAAAUUUGACAGUGAGUUCUUUAAUCAUUGAGAGGGAUGAUUCUAACAAGAAACUUGAUGCUGUUCAGGAGCAAUUCAGUGAUCUGAAGUCAUCCUCUGAAAAGAAGGCUGCUUUGGAUGCUAAGUUGUUGGCAGAAAAAGAAGAUGAGCUUCACCAACUAAAGGAGAAGCUUGAGCUUGCUCAGAAUGAAGUGAGCAGAAACCAAGCCAUGAUUACAGAUUUGACACAGGAAAAGGAAGAUUUGAGAAAAAUCCUUGAUACAGAAUUGAACAAUGUAACGAAUCUGAAACAUGAACUUCAAAGCACUCGGGAAGAUCUUGGAAAGCUGAGAAAUGAGGCUUCUGAUGUGGCAAAAGAACUCAAGCUGUCAAGAAAUAGGUGCACUGAGCUUGAGGCUGAGGUUUCUAGAGUUCAGGCUGAGUUUGCUGAAGCUACAGAAACAAUGCUGAAGAGCCUUGAGAAGGUGAAACAAAGUAGUGAAGUGUUAGCUAAGGAGAUUGUAGCAGUGAAGGAACAAUUGAGGAAAACCACAGUGGAGCUGCAAUUAAUGUCCCGUGAACUGGCAGCUGUUACAGAAAAUCGUGAUAGUUUGCAGAAGGAAUUAGUCGAUGUCUGUAAGAAAGCUGAAGUCACAGCCAAUGAACUAAGAGAAGAGAAAAAAAUUAGUUUCUUCUCUGAACAAAGAGCUACAAAGCCUGGAGAAUCAAAUAUUGAAGGACAAUGGGGCAAGAAAAUCUUUUGAAACAGAUCUAGAAGAGGCUACUAAAUCACUAGAUGAGAUGAAUCGAAAUGCAUUGAUACUUUCUGGGGAGUUAGAGAUAGCCAAUUCUAGGAUCUCUGACCUUGAAGAUGAGAAACAGGUGCUCUACAAGUCCCUAACAGAGCAGAAGAAUGCAUCUAAAGAGGCCCAAGAGAAUAUGGAAGAUGCCCAUAACAUCGUCUUGAGGCUUGGAAAGGAAAGGGAGAGUUUGGAGAAGAAGGCAAAGAAACUUGAAGAAGAGUUGGCCUCUGCCAAGGGUGAAAUAUUACGAUUAAGGAGUAAGAUAAAUUCCUCAAAAGCUCCAGAAAAAGAGCAUCAAUCUCAGAAAGGUGAAGCUGAAGACAACGUCACUGUUACUGCAAAGAGAACUGGCAGAAGAAGAAGAGCUAGCUCCCAAUGAAGUAUUGUAUUACACGAACUGCCAAUAUUAAUAUCUGAUUAGUUUAUAUUCUAAAUUGUUUUGCUGUUAUCAUCCUUCAAACAAUAUAUUUUUAGGUUUUCAUCCAUUUCUUCAGUGGAGAUUUUCUCCAUGCCAAUGUAUUGUAUAGAUGGGAUCUCGAGGCAUAAAAAUGAGGAAAUCCUUGUUCGUAAUUUUUCGCAUGGUGUUUGUUUUAAGAAUAUUAGAUCAGAUUCACAAUCUUUUUCUGGAAAGGUU
rnacentral:misc_RNA from 1 species